rnacentral:lncRNA from 1 species
AAAGAUCUAAGCCAGGCGUGGUGGCUCAUGCCUGUAAUCCCAGCACUUUGGGAGGAUGAGGCAGAUGGAUCACUUGAGGUCAGGAGUUCGAGACCAGCCUGGCCAACAUGGCAAAACCCCGUCACUACUAAAAAUACAAAAAUUAGCCAGGUGUGGUGGCACACAUCUGUAAUCCCAGUUACUCAGAAGGCUGAGGCAGAAGGAUUGCUGGAAAUGGGAGGGGGAGUUGCAGUGAGCCAAGAGCAUGCCACUGUACUCCAGCCUGGACAACAGAGCAAGACUCUGUCUCAAAAAAAAUAAAUAAAUAAAAUAAAAUAAAAAGAUCUGGAAAAAUAAAAGCCAAACUUUGACCAAAAAAAAAAAAAAUCAAUGAUCUUUGCUUCCAUCAUAAAAUCUGGGGAAAAAAAAGAGUAAAUUAAACCCCAAAGUAAGUAAAGGAAAGAAAUGAUAAAGAGAAGAGUAAUCGAACAAAAAACAAUAGAGAAAAAUCAAGGAAACAAAAGCCUAGUUGUUCAAAAGAUCAAUAAAGCUGAUAAAUCUCUAGUCGGACUGACCACGGGAAAAAAAAGGAGUAGUCAAAAGUUACCAGAAUCAAGAAUGAAAGAAGGGACCAGGUGCAGUGGCUCAUGCCUGUAAUCCCAGCACUUUGGGAGGCUAAGGCAGGCAGAUCACUUGAGGUCAGGAGUUCAAGACCAGCCUGGCCAACAUGGUGAAACCCCAUCUCUACUAAAAAUACAAAAAUUAACUGGGCAUGGUGGCAUUCACCUGUAAUUCCAGCUACUUGGGAGGCUGAGGCAGGAGAAUCACUUGCCUCACCCAGGAGGUGGAGGUUGCAGUGAGCCGAGAUCGCACCACUGUACUCCAGCCUGGGCAACAGGACGAGACUCCAUCUCAAAAAAAAAAAAAAAAAAAAAGAAUGAAAGAAGGGAUAUUACUACAGAUUCAAUAAACCAGGGGCUAUACACUAUAGCCCAGGGGCCAAUUUAGGCUGCUGCCUAUUUUUAUAAAUAAAUUUUUAUUGGAACUCAUUUAUGUAUGUGUUAUCUAUAGUUGCCUUUGCUCUACCAUGGCAGAGUUAAGUAGUUGUAACAGAACUUAACAGCCCACAAAGCCUAAAAUAUUUACUAUCUGGCCCCUUAAGAAAAAGCUUGUCAACCUCUGGUCUAAGAGAAUGUACCUUUGUUUGAUUCACUAUUUACUACUGAGUAGAGCUUAAAUUUAGACGUUAACUUAUAGAAUAUGUUACAAAUGAUUUUGAUUUAUAUAUAUAUAAAUCAUAUCUAUAUAACAUAUAUAUAUAUAUAUAUAUAUUUUUUUUUUUUUUUUUUUCUGUCCAGUAUAAAAUAUAACCUCUGGCUGCACAUGAUGGCUCACUCCCAUAAUCCCAGCACUUUGGAAAGCUGAGACAGGAGAAUAGUUUGAGCUCAGAAGUUUGAGACCAGCCCAGGCAACAUAGCGAGACCUUGUCUUUACUAAAAAUUUUAAAAAAUCAGCCAGGUGUGGUGGUGUGCACUUGUAGUCCCAGCUACUCAGGAGGCUGACGCAGUAGGAUUGCUUGAGCUUGGGAGAUACUGGCUGCAUUAAGCUAUGAUAAUGCCAUCACACUCCAGCCUGGGAGACAGUAAGAUCCUGUCUCAAAAAAUAAAACAAAACAAAAAUAAUAUACAUAACUUCCAAUGUUUUAGUUUUAGUGUUCUGUAAGAUAUUAAUAUUUCACAUCUAACUUACAAACUUAUUUCAUCAUUCUUUUCCUGACUGACAAUAUAAAUUUGUAUUUCUUAAAAGCAGCUUUACUGCCCACUGAUUCCCUUACUCAUGAGUUAAAUCUCUGACAAACGUUUCCUUUAUAUUUGUGAGAGUGAUGUCUUUAACACUUUGAAAUUUAUAUACUCAAACACACAAGGUUCACAUUCAUUUACAGAGGCCACAAAACAUAGGAGAAUUACCAAAUUUCAGGGAAAGAAAUAUUUUAAAAAUAUAUUUAGUUCAAUUCCCAUCUAGAGCUAAAAUCCCCUCUAAAACAAUUCAAAGUAUUUUCCAGCCUUUUAAAUUACCUCCUGUAGUUGAGAAUUCAUUAACAAGGCAGGCAAUUCUAAAUUUGUAUAUUCUAGUCUAUUAGUUCUUCCUGGGGUAAUGGUUAAGUGAAUUACGGCAUAGCAACUUAACGACUAUCAUUAAAAGAUCAUUAUAAAGACCAGGUGGCAAGAUGGAAAAUUGUUUACAAUGUAACCCUAAGAGUAAAAAGCUAAAUAUAAAAGUGCACACAUAGUCGGGCUGACAACCAAAAUGUCUAUAAAUGGGCAAGAGAUGAAAGUAAACACAUAUGAAAUCAACAAACAUUUACGAACAUUUACUGUGUUGGAAAGUAUCAUCGAUGCUAGGGAUUAAAAAAAAAAAACAAAACUUACAAAAUGGACUAAAUGCCCCCACUUAAAAGGCACAGAGUGGCAACCUGGAUAAAAAACAAGACCCAAUGGCAUUCUGUCUUCUCACUUCUCACUUGUAAGGAUGAGCGACACAUAAUGACACUCACAGGCUCAAAAUAAAGGGAUGGAGGAAAGCCUACCAAGCAAAGAGCAAAGGGAAAACUGAAAAAAGUAGGAGUUGCAAUCCUAAUUUCAGACAAAACAGAUUUUAAACCAACAAAGAUCAAAAAAGACAAAGAAAGGCAUUACAAAAUGGUUAAAGGGUCAAUUCAACAAGAAAACCUAACCAUCCUAAAUAUAUCUGGACCCAACACAGAAGCACCCAGAUUCAUAAAGCAAGUUCUUAGAGACCUACAAAGAAACGUGGACUCCCACACAAUAACAGUGGGAGACUUAAACACUCCACUGACAGUAUUAGACAGAUCACUGAGGCAGAAAAUUAACAAAGAUAUUCAGGACCUGAUCUCAACAUUGGACCAAAGGGAUCUGAUAGACCUCUACAGAACUCUUCAACCAAAAACAACAGAAUAUACAUUCUUCUUAUAGACACAUGGCACAUACUCUAAAAUUGACCACAUAAUUGGACAUAAAACAAUCCUCAGCAAAUGCAAAAGAACCAAAACUAAGGCCGGGUGCGGUGGCUCACACCUGUAAUCCCAACACUUUGGGAGGCCGAGGCAGGUGGAUCACUUGAGGUCAGGAGUUUGAGGCCAGCCUGGCCAACACGGUGAAACCCCAUCUCUAUUAAAAAUACAAAAUUAGCCGGGUGUGCUGGCACACACCUGUAAUCCCAGCUACUUGGGAGGCUGAGAUAGGAGAAUUCCUUGAACCUGGGAGGCAGAGGCUGUAGUGAGCUGAGAUCGUGCCAUUGCACUCCAGCCUGGACAAAAAGAGUGAAACUCCAUCUCAAAAAAAAAAAAAAAAGAACCAAAAUUGUACCAAACACACUCUUAGACCACAACACAAUGAAAAUAGAAGUCAAAACUAAGAAAAUCACUCAAAACCAUGCAAUUACAUGAAUUACAUGAAAAUUAAACAACAUGCCCCUGAAUGACUUUUGGGUAAAUAAUGAAAUUAAGGCAGAAAUCAAGAAGUUAUUUGAAACUAAUAAGAACAAAGAUACAACAUACCAGAAUCUCUGGGACACAGCUAAGGCAGUGUUAAAAGGGAAAUUCAUAGCACUAAAUACCCACAUCAAAAGGUUAGAAAGAUCUCAAAUUAACAACCUAACAUCACAACUGAAAGAGAAGCAAGAACAAAUCAAACCCAAAGCUAGUAGAAGACAAGAAAUAACCAAAAUCGGAGCUGAAUUGAAGGAAAUCAAGACACAAAAAAAAUUCAAAAGAUCAACAAAUCCAGGAGUUGGUUUCUUGAAAAAAUUAAUAAGAUAGGCCACUAACUAAACUAAUAAAGAAGAAAAAGAGAGGAUAUCCAAAUAAACACAAUUAGAAAUGAUGAAGAGGAUGUUACCACUGACCGCCCAGAAAUAAAAAUAACCAUUAGAAGCUACUUGAUCACCUCUAUGCAUACAAACUAGAAAACCUGGAAGAGAUGGAUAAAUUCCUGGACACAUACACCCUCCCAAGAUUGAACCAAGAAGAAACUGAUUCCCUGAACAGACCAAUAAUGAGCUCUAAAACUGAAUCAGUAAUAAAUAGCCUACCAACCAAAAAAAGCCCAAGACCAGAUGGAUUCCCAGCUGAAUUCCACGAGAUGUACAAAGAAGAGCUGGUACCUUCCUACUAAAACUAUUCCAAAA